rnacentral:snoRNA from 1 species
UGAUGAUGGCGUGGACAAUUUUUUAGCAUACUCUUAAAUCUCUCCCAAGCUUGGUAGAGAUUCUAUCCUUCUUUCUGUCUGAAACUCAGAAUCCCACUUCUCAAAUA